UACGAAGGGGGCUAGCGUUGUUCGGAGUUACUGGGCGUAAAGCGCACGCAGGCGGUCUGUUAAGUUUGGAGUGACAGUUGGUGGCUUAACUGCCAAAGUGCUUCGAAAACUGAUCGACUUGAGGGCUUCAGAGGGACACGGAAUUCCCGGUGUAGUGGUGGAAUGCGUAGAGAUCGGGAGGAACACCAGUGGCGAAGGCGGCUACCUGGACCAGCACUGACACUGAGGCACGAAAGCGUGGGGAGCAAACAGG
rnacentral:rRNA from 1 species